rnacentral:rRNA from 1 species
AUUGAACGCUGGCGGCAGGCUUAACACAUGCAAGUCGAGCGGAGCGAGGGUGCUUGCACCUUAGCUUAGCGGCAGACGGGUGAGUAAUGCUUAGGAAUCUGCCUAUUAGUGGGGGACAACAUUCCGAAAGGAAUGCUAAUACCGCAUACGCCCUACGAGGGAAAGCAGGGGAUCUUCGGACCUUGCGCUAAUAGAUGAGCCUAAGUCGGAUUAGCUAGUUGGUGGGGUAAAGGCCUACCAAGGCGACGAUCUGUAGCGGGUCUGAGAGGAUGAUCCGCCACACUGGGACUGAGACACGGCCCAGACUCCUACGGGAGGCAGCAGUGGGGAAUAUUGGACAAUGGGCGGAAGCCUGAUCCAGCCAUGCCGCGUGUGUGAAGAAGGCCUUUUGGUUGUAAAGCACUUUAAGCGAGGAGGAGGCUACUUAGAUUAAUACUCUGGGAUAGUGGACGUUACUCGCAGAAUAAGCACCGGCUAACUCUGUGCCAGCCGCCGCAGUAA